UGCGUAGGCGGAAUGGUAAGUCAGUGGUGAAAUACUACAGCUCAACUGUAGAACUGCCAUUGAAACUACCAAUCUUGAGUACAGUUGAAGUGGGCGGAAUGUGUUAUGUAGCGGUGAAAUGCUUAGAUAUGACACAGAACACCUAUUGCGAAGGCAGCUCACUAAGCUGUAACUGACGCUGAGGCACGAAAGCGUGGGUAGCGAACAGGAUUAGAUACCCUGGUAGUCC
rnacentral:rRNA from 1 species